GAUGAACGCUAGCUACAGGCUUAACACAUGCAAGUCGCAGGGUAACAUGAGGAAAGCUUGCUUUCCUUGAUGCCGACUGGCGCACGGGUGAGUAACGCGUAUCCAACCUUCCCAUAACUACGGGAUAACCCGUUGAAAGACGGCCUAAUACCGUAUGAUAUCGUUUGCUGACAUCAAAUAACGAUUAAAGGUUUAGCGGUUAUGGAUGGGGAUGCGUCUGAUUAGCUUGUUGGCGGGGUAACGGCCCACCAAGGCGACGAUCAGUAGGGGUUCUGAGAGGAAGGUCCCCCACAUUGGAACUGAGACACGGUCCAAACUCCUACGGGAGGCAGCAGUGAGGAAGAUUGGUCAAUGGGCGAGAGCCUGAACCAGCCAAGUAGCGUGCAGGACGACGGCCCUAUGGGUUGUAAACUGCUUUUAUGUGGGGAUAAAGUGCGUGACGUGUCAUGCAUUGCAGGUACCACAUGAAUAAGGACCGGCUAAUUCCGUG
rnacentral:rRNA from 1 species